rnacentral:lncRNA from 1 species
GCGCCUUAAAGGUGCCUGGCCCGGAAUGGGUGCUCAAUGAAUAUUUCUGAAAUGACUGACUGAAGGCUGUAUAAGGGGAUGCUGUGUCCGGAGUUAGAAUUAAAAAAAGGCAGAGCCACCUCAGACCUCUUCUGCCCUCCUUCUGGUGGUGAAGAUGGAGGCCUUGAGAAGGAUGGAGCCGGAUAGGCCAACCCAGGGCCACUGUGAUGAGUCCAGUGGUGGCCCCCAAAAGAUACACCCUCUUCCAAAUCCAUAGAACCUGUGAAUGUGACCUCAUUUGGGCAAAAAGUCUUUGCUGAUGUGGUUGUUAAGGAUCUUGGCAUGAGGUCAUCCUGGAUCACCUGAGUGGACCCUACAUCCAAUGACAAGCGUCUUUAUAAGAGUGAGGCAGAGAGAGAUUAAAUAGACAGAAGAGGAGGUGAUGUGGAAGUGGAGGCAGGGUGCAUUCAGUGGGCAAUUUGACCAGGGUGGGACUCUCAACCCACCCCUGAUUCAGACCUUUGGAAAUCUCUUAUCCACCAG